rnacentral:rRNA from 1 species
AGCUCCAAGGUUCUGAUUUUGCGUUGCUGCUGUUGAAGCGCUCGUAGUCGCUUUUUUGGUUUGUUGUGAUUGUUGUGUCCGUGAGGAUGCGUACUUUUGCACUGGCCUUUUGGGAAGGAGCUUGUGUGGCCUUGAUUGGUUCGUGCAAUUUGUGUUCUUCCCCACCUACUUUGAGAAAAAUAAUGUGUUUCAAACCGGCUUUACGCCUUCAUACACACCAUGGAAUAAUGGAACAUGACUUUGGUCAGUUUCGUUGGCACCAUCCGGCCGAAGUAAUGAUGAAGAGGAGCAGUUUUGGGGGCGAUAGUAUUCGACGGCUAGAGGUGAAAUUCUGUGAUUCGUCGAGGACUGACUACUGCGAAAGCAUUCGCCAGCGAUGUUUUCAUUG